CCAGGAGACUUGUUCGGAGUUUUAAGUGUAGAACUUUUUUUGAAGGGAAAUCGGUGUGGGAAGGUGCCCUAAAGAGUUCAUUUUCUGGUUUUCUCAAGAGUUUUCUUAUAAAAUUUGAAAAACCGAAAAAAACGAGAAAAUGUAAGAAAUAUACAAUAGGUAUUAGUUAAUAUAUAUUACAACCUUUUUUUUUUUUGUGCACAAUUUUUCUACCAAACUUUGCUCCAACUCAUAUUGACAGCAAUGUUUCCAAAAGGAAAUUUCACUAGAAAGGUAUUUUAGAGAGGCCAUUUUUCGAUUUUUUCAAGAUUUUUCCCAGUAAAUGUGAAAAACCUGGAUAAAACAUCAGAAAAUCUGUACUUUUAUAAUAACUUGUAUAUACUUGUAUAACUUUUAUUUGAAAUGUG